AUGAAAUUAAAAAAAAUUUUUUUUUUUCAACAUACCCAUACAUGUGGGGUAUCUAUGGAUAGGUCUUCAAAAAUGAUAUUAAGGUUUCUAAUAUAAUUUUUUUCUAAACUGAAUAGUUUGCGCGAGAGAACCUCCCAAAGUAAAAAAAAGUGUGUCCCCCCCCCUGUAACUUCUAAAAUAACAGAAUGAAAAAUCUAAAAAAAAUAUAUGAUAUACAUUACGAUGCAAACUUCUAACGAAAAUUGUUUUGAACGAGAUCUAGUGAGUAGUUUUUUUUAAUACGUCAUAAAAUUAAAUUUAUUUUUUUUUGUCAAACCCAUACGUGUGGGGUAUCUAUGGAUAGGUCUUCAAAAAUGAUAUUUAGGUUCCUAAUAUAAUUUUUUUCUAAAGUGAAUAGUUUGCGCGAGAGACACUACCAAAGUGGUAAAAUGUGUGUCCAAAGUGGUAAAAUGUUGAACGAGAUCUAGUAGUUUAAGUAGUUUUUUUUAAUACGUCAUAAAGGAACCCUUCAUGGGCGAGUCCGACUCGCACUUGGCCGCUUUUU